UACAGAGGUCUCAAGCGUUGUUCGGAUUCAUUGGGCGUAAAGGGUGCGUAGGCGGCGCGGUAAGUCGGGUGUGAAAUCGUCGGGCUUAACUCCGAAACUGCAUUCGAUACUGCCGUGCUUGAGGACUGGAGAGGAGACUGGAAUUUACGGUGUAGCGGUGAAAUGCGUAGAUAUGCGGAGGAACACCGAUGGCGAAGGCAAUCCCCUGGACCUGUACUG
rnacentral:rRNA from 1 species